AUUGAACGCUGGCGGCAUGCCUUACACAUGCAAGUCGAACGGCAGCACGGGUGCUUGCACCUGGUGGCGAGUGGCGCACGGGUGAGUAAUACAUCGGAACAUGUCCUGUAGUGGGGGAUAGCCCGGCGAAAGCCGGAUUAAUACCGCAUACGAUCUACGGAUGACAGCGGGGGACCUUCGGGCCUCGCGCUAUAGGGUUGGCCGAUGGCUGAUUAGCUAGUUGGUGGGGUAAAGGCCUACCAAGGCGACGAUCAGUAGCUGGUCUGAGAGGACGACCAGCCACACUGGGACUGAGACACGGCCCAGACUCCUACGGGAGGCAGCAGUGGGGAAUUUUGGACAAUGGGCGAAAGCCUGAUCCAGCAAUGCCGCGUGUGUGAAGAAGGCCUUCGGGUUGUAAAGCACUUUUGUCCGGAAAGAAAUCCUUGGCCCUAAUACGGUCGGGGGAUGACGGUACCGGAAGAAUAAGCACCAGCUAACUACGUG
rnacentral:rRNA from 1 species